UGCAUUUAAUUAUGUGGUAAUUCAGAUUACUCUGUUGCUUCAUCAGAGAAAUCUGAAGGUGUGGGAAAUGGCGGAAAAUCAUAUUGUGCACAAAAUCAAGAACUUUGAGAGCUGAAAGGAACUUGAUUGACCACCUCCUCCAGUUCCCUAUUGUUUUAUAGCUACUUAAGGUCAAGCUGUGCUAAGGAGAAUGUCAGUCUACUCCAUCCUUCAGGAGAAAUGCAGCCACUGCAGUCAGAAGAGACAGGGAGACCACAAGAGACAGGAAACCAUGAGCCGACUGGCCUGCACUACCACAAGAGAGGCGACGUUCCCGUAUGGCUUGAAGUUUAGGGGGAAGUGGAUCCCUGAUAUGAAAACUGUGGUCCCUGAGCCAGAGGCAUUACAGUCACCUGUGACAUUUAUCGCUGUACACAGAAGAAAAUGAGCCAAGAAGUGCUGCAGGAGUUCAGAGGCGAGAGAGAGGAAUGUGGCCUGACAUGCACAGAUUUCAAGAAGGAGGUAGAGCUGAAGAUGGUCCUUUAGGGUGGGUGAACUUUACAAAAAGGAGAGAAAGGCUAAGUGUGUCCAGUAGCUCUAUGGUUUGACCCCAGGAUUUCAUUUAUAGUUCUGCUUGCUUUUGUUAUCUUGUUACUAUUCUGUCUCUUCCUGUAGAAGAGUCUGCUGACUGCUUAGCAAAAUCCACAUUCUCCUCUUCUUUCUGGGCUAGACUACAAUGAAGUAAGCGGAAAUCUGUUAAUUAUCUAUUGCUGCAUAACAGAGUACCUUGAAACGUCGUGGUUUAAAGCAACAAACUCUAUUAUCUCAUAGUUUCUAUGGGUCAGGCAUUUAGGAGCAUAUUAAUUAGGUCAGUUUGGUUCAGAGUCUCUUAUGAAGCUGCAGUUGAGGCGUGGGCUGGAACUACAGUCAUUUGUAGGUUUGCCAAGGCCUGAAGGCUCCACUCCUAAGAUGGCCCACUCACAUGGCUGUUGGUGGGAAGGAGGCCGUAUGGGUCUCUCCAUGGGGUUGCUUGAAUGUCCUCAUGAUAUGGCAGCUGGCUUCCCUUAAAGCAAGUGAUUCAAGAGACUAAGACUCAGCCUGGGAAGUCACACACUGUCAUUUCUGCAAUAUCUUAUCUGUUACAUAGGUCAGCCUCAUUUGCUGUGGGAGGGGGACUAUAUGUGAUCAUGAAUACCAGGAGGCAGGAUUCAUUGGGGCCAUCUUGAAGGCUGGCUACUGUAGGAUGUGCCAUCUGCCACUUUCAUGCUUGGUCCAUAAAAAUCUCUCAUGUGCUCCUUCAAUCUCCUUUCCUGUUCCAGCUGGCUGAAAUGAAAUGACUCCCAGGGAAACUUGGAACCCAUGUGUUGAAGGUGGUAGCACUUCCAUCAGCCUGGGUCCUGAGUGCCUGCAGGAGGAUAUCCUGUGGAUCCAUGUACCUGCUGAGGACUAGUAAGUGAGCAAGAAAUAAACUUCUCCUGCACUUGAGUCA
rnacentral:lncRNA from 13 species